rnacentral:miRNA from 1 species
UGAGCUGAGCUGAGCUGAGCUGAGCUGAGCUGAGCUGAGCUGAGCUGAGCUGAGCUGAGCUGAGCUGAGCUGAGCUGAGCUGAGCUGAGCUGAGCCUCUC